rnacentral:lncRNA from 1 species
GAACAGCAUACAUGGUAUAUUUCCUCAACUGAAGAAAUGAACGAAACCCAGUCAAAUUGUCAAGAUGAACACAAGUAUAUAUGGAAAGAAUGCAGGCUACUACAAUAUGAAUGAAACUGGAAGAUCGAGUAUAAGCCACAUCUCGCUGUACAACUGGGAAAGAAUGCAGGCUACAAUAUGAAUGAAACCCAGACAAGGGAUCAUUACAAGUUGAAAGAAUUACAAGUUCUAUUUGAAGAUGGAAUAUAAGCUCCAUCUCGCUGUACAACUUGAAAGAAUGCAAUGUGCAG